rnacentral:rRNA from 1 species
UACGUAGGGUGCAAGCGUUGUCUGGAAUUAUUGGGCGUAAAGAGCGUGUAGGCGGCCCGAUUAGUCUGCUGUGAAAGUCCAGGGCUCAACCCUGGAAUGCCGGUGGAUACUGUCGGGCUAGAGUCCGGAAGGGGCGAGUGGAAUUCCUGGUGUAGCGGUGAAAUGCGCAGAUAUCAGGAGGAACACCAAUGGCGAAGGCAGCUCGCUGGGACGUGACUGACGCUGAGACGCGAAAGCGUGGGGAGCAAACAGG